rnacentral:rRNA from 1 species
UACAGAGGGGGCAAGCGUUGUUCGGAAUUACUGGGCGUAAAGGGCGCGUAGGCGGCCCGCUAAGUCGAACGUGAAAUCCCCGAGCUCAACUCGGGAACUGCGUCCGAUACUGGCGGGCUUGAAUCCGGGAGAGGGAUGCGGAAUUCCAGGUGUAGCGGUGAAAUGCGAAGAUAUCUGGAGGAACACCGGUGGCGAAGGCGGCAUCCUGGACCGGCAUUGACGCUGAGGCGCGAAAGCUAGGGGAGCAAACGGG